ACCAGCAUGGUGUAGUGGUUUGUGUGUUGGACUAUAACUCUGGAGAUCAGGGUUCGAAUCCCUGCUUGAC
rnacentral:tRNA from 1 species